UACGGAGGGCACUAGCGUUGUUCGGAUAUAUUGGGCGUAAAGCGCACGUAGGCGGCGCCGUAAGUCAGGGGUGAAAUCCCGGAGCUCAACUCCGGAACUGCCCUUGAAACUGCAGUGCUAGAAUCUUGGAGAGGCGAGUGGAAUUCCGAGUGUAGAGGUGAAAUUCGUAGAUAUUCGGAAGAACACCAGUGGCGAAGGCGACUCGCUGGACAAGUAUUGACGCUGAGGUGCGAAAGCGUGGGGAGCAAACAGG
rnacentral:rRNA from 1 species